rnacentral:rRNA from 1 species
UACAGAGGGUGCAAGCGUUAAUCGGAUUUACUGGGCGUAAAGCGUGUGUAGGUGGUUGGGAAAGUCAAUUGUGAAAUCCCCGGGCUUAACUCGGGAACUGCUUUUGAUACUGUCUGACUAGAAUUCGGUAGAGGGAGGCGGAACUCCAGGUGUAGCGGUGAAAUGCGUAGAUAUCUGGAAGAACACCAAUGGCGAAGGCAACCUCCUGGGCCUGAAGUUGACACUGAGACACGAAAGCGUGGGGAUCAAACAGG